rnacentral:rRNA from 1 species
UACGUAGGGUGCAAGCGUUAAUCGGAAUUACUGGGCGUAAAGCGUGCGUAGACGGCUAUCUAAGUCGGGUGUGAAAGCCCCGGGCUCAACCUGGGGAUUGCAUUCGAGACUGAAUAGCUAGGGUGCGGUAGAGGGAAGCGGAAUUUCCGGUGUAGCGGUGAAAUGCGUAGAUAUCGGAAGGAACAUCAGUGGCGAAAGCGGCUUCCUGGACCAGCACCGACGUUCAGGCACGAAAGCGUGGGGAGCAAACAGG